GAAUGGGCCCGUGCUGACCGCGGUGUCUCCGCCAGGCCGGGCCGGGCCCCCCCGGUGCCAGUACCCGCUGGUGGUGCCCCUGGCCCGGCACCUGCUGCUCUUUGCCCGGGUCCCUAGGCCAUGCGUGGUGGAGGCCGGGUAUCUGCUGCUGUGCACUGGGGGCCGCAGCCCUCCCACCCCACGCGCCCCAGAGCCCUCCUGAGCCCCUGGGGGGGCCGAGGCCUGGGUUCCCCUUCCCUGCAGGGGAAACUGAGGCACAGAGCAGGGGCAACUGCAACAUGAGGCGAGGGGGGAACCCAGGAGUCCUGAAGCACCCCCCCCCCAGCCUACAGUGGGGGGAUCCAGGCAUUCAGCUCUGUGCCCCCAUGACCGCGCAGCCAGGCGCGGAGGGGCCCCCCUGCCCUCGGGACGGACCCCCCAUGGAUGGAUGGCAGUGUCAGCACCUGCCUCUGCUCCCCCAGAACUGCCCCCAACAGCAAGAGGGGCUGAGAGUGUAACAUGGCGGGACAAUAAAAACUGAACAAUGGA